UACGGAGGGAGCUAGCGUUAUUCGGAAUUACUGGGCGUAAAGCGCACGUAGGCGGCCUUGUAAGUUAGAGGUGAAAGCCUGGAGCUCAACUCCAGAACUGCCUUUAAAACUGCAUCGCUUGAAUCCAGGAGAGGUGAGUGGAAUUCCGAGUGUAGAGGUGAAAUUCGUAGAUAUUCGGAAGAACACCAGUGGCGAAGGCGGCUCACUGGACUGGUAUUGACGCUGAGGUGCGAAAGCGUGGGGAGCAAACAGG
rnacentral:rRNA from 1 species